UACGGGGGGGGCAAGCGUUGUUCGGAAUUACUGGGCGUAAAGGGCUCGUAGGUGGCCAACUAAGUCAUACGUGAAAUCCCUCGGCUUAACCGGGGAACGGCGUCUGAUACUGGAUGGCUUGAGUUUGGGAGAGGGAUGCGGAAUUCCAGGUGUAGCGGUGAAAUGCGUAGAUAUCUGGAGGAACACCGGUGGCGAAGGCGGGUCUCUGGGCCGAUACUGACGCUGAGGAGCGAAAGCGUGGGGAGCGAACAGG
rnacentral:rRNA from 1 species